CCUACGGGAGACAGCAGUGAGGAAUAUUGGUCAAUGGACGAGAGUCUGAACCAGCCGAGUAGCGUGAAGGAUGACUGCCCUAUGGGUUGUAAACUUCUUUUAUCUGGGAAUAAAAUGUUCCACGUGUGGGCUUUUGUAUGUACCAUAUGAAUAAGGCUCGGCCAACUCCGUGCCAGCAGCCGCGGGAAUACGGAGGAUCCGAGCGUUUUCCGGAGUUAUUGGGUUUAAAGGGAGCGUAGGUGGAUUGUUAAGUUAGUUGUGAAAGUUUGCGGCUCAACCGUAGACUUGCAGUUGAAACUGGCAGUCUUGAGUACAGUAGAGGUAGGCGGAAUUCGUGGUGUAGCGGUGAAAUGCUUAGAUAUCACGAAGAACUCCGAUUGCGAAGGCAGCUCACUGGAGUGCAACUGACGCUGAGGCUCGAAAGUGUGGGUAUCAAACAGGAUUAGAUACCCCUGUAGUC
rnacentral:rRNA from 1 species